rnacentral:rRNA from 1 species
UGGGGAAUUUUGGACAAUGGGCGAAAGCCUGAUCCAGCAAUGCCGCGUGUGUGAAGAAGGCCUUCGGGUUGUAAAGCACUUUUGUCCGGAAAGAAAUGGCUCUGGUUAAUACCUGGGGUCGAUGACGGUACCGGAAGAAUAAGGACGGGCUAACUACGUGCCAGCAGCGGCGGUAAUACGUAGGGUCCAAGCGUUAAUCGGAAUUACUGGGCGUAAAGCGUGCGCAGGCGGUUGUGCAAGACCGAUGUGAAAUCACCGAGCUUAACUUGGGAAUUGCAUUGGUGACUGCACGGCUAGAGUGUGUCAGAGGGGGGUAGAAUUCCACGUGUAGCAGUGAAAUGCGUAGAGAUGUGGAGGAAUACCGAUGGCGAAGGCAGCCCCCUGGGAUAACACUGACGCUCAUGCACGAAAGCGUGGGGAGCAAACAGG